GGAUAGCUCAGUUGGUUUGAGCGUGGUGCUGAUAACGUCGAGGUUGCAGCUUCGAUCCCCGCAGGAGACA